UACGUAGGGUGCAAGCGUUGUCCGGAAUUAUUGGGCGUAAAGAGCUCGUAGGCGGUCUGUCGCGUCUGCUGUGAAAACUCAGGGCUUAACCCUGAGCUUACAGCGGGUACGGGCAGACUAGAGUGCGGUAGGGGAGACUGGAAUUCCUGGUGUAGCGGUGAAAUGCGCAGAUAUCAGGAGGAACACCGGUGGCGAAGGCGGGUCUCUGGGCCGUAACUGACGCUGAGGAGCGAAAGCAUGGGGAGCGAACAGG
rnacentral:rRNA from 1 species